AUUGAACGCUGGCGGCAUGCUUUACACAUGCAAGUCGAACGGUAACAGGCCGCAAGGUGCUGACGAGUGGCGAACGGGUGAGUAAUGCAUCGGAACGUGCCCAGUCGUGGGGGAUAACUACUCGAAAGAGUAGCUAAUACCGCAUACGAUCUAUGGAUGAAAGCGGGGGACCGUAAGGCCUCGCGCGAUUGGAGCGGCCGAUGUCAGCUUAGGUAGUUGGUGGGGUAAAGGCUCACCAAGCCAACGAUCUGUAGCUGGUCUGAGAGGACGACCAGCCACACUGGGACUGAGACACGGCCCAGACUCCUACGGGAGGCAGCAGUGGGGAAUUUUGGACAAUGGGCGCAAGCCUGAUCCAGCAAUGCCGCGUGCAGGAAGAAGGCCUUCGGGUUGUAAACUGCUUUUGUACGGAACGAAACGGCUCUGGUUAAUACCCGGGGCUAAUGACGGUACCGUAAGAAUAAGCACCGGCUAACUACGUG
rnacentral:rRNA from 1 species